rnacentral:rRNA from 1 species
CACGUAGGGCGCGAGCGUUGUCCGGAAUUAUUGGGCGUAAAGAGCUCGUAGGCGGCCUGUUGCGUCCGCUGUGAAAGCCCGGGGCUUAACCCCGGGUCUGCAGUGGAUACGGGCAGGCUAGAGGUAGGUAGGGGAGAAUGGAAUUCCCGGUGUAGCGGUGAAAUGCGCAGAUAUCGGGAGGAACACCGGUGGCGAAGGCGGUUCUCUGGGCCUUACCUGACGCUGAGGAGCGAAAGCGUGAGUAGCAAACAGG